UACGUAGGGUCCAAGCGUUAUCCGGAUUUACUGGGUGUAAAGGGCAAGUAGACGGCAUAGCAAGUCAGAUGUGAAAACUUAGGGCUCAACCUUAAGACUGCAUCUGAAACUGUUAAGCUAGAGUGCAGGAGAGGAAAGCGGAAUUCCUAGUGUAGCGGUGAAAUGCGUAGAUAUUAGGAGGAACACCAGUGGCGAAGGCGGCUUUCUGGACUGUAACUGACGUUGAUGUGCGAAAGUGUGGGGAGCAAACAGG
rnacentral:rRNA from 1 species